UACAGAGGGGGCAAGCGUUGUUCGGAAUUACUGGGCGUAAAGGGCGCGUAGGCGGCCUUCUAAGUCGAACGUGAAAUCCCCGGGCUCAACCCGGGAACUGCGUCCGAGACUGGAAGGCUCGAAUCCGGGAGAGGGAUGUGGAAUUCCAGGUGUAGCGGUGAAAUGCGUAGAUAUCAGAAGGAACAUCAGUGGCGAAGGCGACUUCCUGGCCUAAUACUGACACUAAGGUGCGAAAGCGUGGGGAGCAAACAGG
rnacentral:rRNA from 1 species